rnacentral:rRNA from 1 species
AGAUUGAACGCUGGCGGCAGGCCUAACACAUGCAAGUCGAGCGGCAGCACGGGUACUUGUACCUGGUGGCGAGCGGCGGACGGGUGAGUAAUGCCUAGGAAUCUGCCUGGUAGUGGGGGAUAACGCUCGGAAACGGACGCUAAUACCGCAUACGUCCUACGGGAGAAAGCAGGGGACCUUCGGGCCUUGCGCUAUCAGAUGAGCCUAGGUCGGAUUAGCUAGUUGGUGGGGUAAUGGCUCACCAAGGCGACGAUCCGUAACUGGUCUAGAGAGGAUGAUCAGUUCACACUGGAACUGAGACACGGUCCAGACUCC